rnacentral:rRNA from 1 species
UACGUAGGGUGCGAGCGUUGUCCGGAAUUAUUGGGCGUAAAGAGCUUGUAGGCGGUUUGUCGCGUCUGCUGUGAAAAUCCGGGGCUCAACUCCGGACUUGCAGUGGGUACGGGCAGGCUAGAGUGUGGUAGGGGAGACUGGAAUUCCUGGUGUAGCGGUGGAAUGCGCAGAUAUCAGGAGGAACACCGAUGGCGAAGGCAGGUCUCUGGGCCACUACUGACGCUGAGGAGCGAAAGCGUGGGGAGCGAACAGG